rnacentral:rRNA from 1 species
UCAUGAUGAACGCUAGCUACAGGCUUAACACAUGCAAGUCGAGGGGCAGCAUGGUCUUAGCUUGCUAAGGCCGAUGGCGACCGGCGCACGGGUGAGUAACACGUAUCCAACCUGCCGUCUACUCUUGGACAGCCUUCUGAAAGGAAGAUUAAUACAAGAUGGCAUCAUGAGUCCGCAUGUUCACAUGAUUAAAGGUAUUCCGGUAGACGAUGGGGAUGCGUUCCAUUAGAUAGUAGGCGGGGUAACGGCCCACCUAGUCUUCGAUGGAUAGGGGUUCUGAGAGGAAGGUCCCCCACAUUGGAACUGAGACACGGUCCAAACUCCUACGGGAGGCAGCAGUGAGGAAUAUUGGUCAAUGGGCGAGAGCCUGAACCAGCCAAGUAGCAUGAAGGAUGACUGCCCUAUGGGUUGUAAACUUCUUUUAUAAAGGAAUAAAGUCGGGUAUGGAUACCCGUUUGCAUGUACUUUAUGAAUAAGGAUCGGCUAACUCCGUGCCAGCAGCCGCGGUAAUACGGAGGAUCCGAGCGUUAUCCGGAUUUAUUGGGUUUAAAGGGAGCGUAGAUGGAUGUUUAAGUCAGUUGUGAAAGUUUGCGGCUCAACCGUAAAAUUGCAGUUGAUACUGGAUAUCUUGAGUGCAGUUGAGGCAGGCGGAAUUCGUGGUGUAGCGGUGAAAUGCUUAGAUAUCACGAAGAACUCCGAUUGCGAAGGCAGCCUGCUAAGCUGCAACUGACAUUGAGGCUCGAAAGUGUGGGUAUCAAACAGGAUUAGAUACCCUGGUAGUCCACACGGUAAACGAUGAAUACUCGCUGUUUGCGAUAUACUGCAAGCGGCCAAGCGAAAGCGUUAAGUAUUCCACCUGGGGAGUACGCCGGCAACGGUGAAACUCAAAGGAAUUGACGGGGGCCCGCACAAGCGGAGGAACAUGUGGUUUAAUUCGAUGAUACGCGAGGAACCUUACCCGGGCUUAAAUUGCAGAUGAAUUACGGUGAAAGCCGUAAGCCGCAAGGCAUCUGUGAAGGUGCUGCAUGGUUGUCGUCAGCUCGUGCCGUGAGGUGUCGGCUUAAGUGCCAUAACGAGCGCAACCCUUGUUGUCAGUUACUAACAGGUUCCGCUGAGGACUCUGACAAGACUGCCAUCGUAAGAUGUGAGGAAGGUGGGGAUGACGUCAAAUCAGCACGGCCCUUACGUCCGGGGCUACACACGUGUUACAAUGGGGGGUACAGAGGGCUGCUACCACGCGAGUGGAUGCCAAUCCCCAAAACCUCUCUCAGUUCGGACUGGAGUCUGCAACCCGACUCCACGAAGCUGGAUUCGCUAGUAAUCGCGCAUCAGCCACGGCGCGGUGAAUACGUUCCCGGGCCUUGUACACACCGCCCGUCAAGCCAUGGGAGCCGGGGGUACCUGAAGUGCGUAACCGCGAGGAGCGCCCUAGGGUAAAACUGG